rnacentral:rRNA from 1 species
GCCUACGGGGCGCAGCAGUAGGGAAUCUUCCACAAUGGACGAAAGUCUGAUGGAGCAACGCCGCGUGAGUGAAGAAGGGUUUCGGCUCGUAAAGCUCUGUUGGUAGUGAAGAAAGAUAGAGGUAGUAACUGGCCUUUAUUUGACGGUAAUUACUUAGAAAGCCACGGCUAACUACGUGCCAGCAGCCGCGGUAAUACGUAGGUGGCAAGCGUUAUCCGGAUUUACUGGGAGGAAAGGGCGUGUAGGCGGGAAGGGA